GAUGAACGCUAGCUACAGGCUUAACACAUGCAAGUUCGAGGGGAAACGACAUCGAAAGCUUGCUUUUGGUGGGCGUCGACCGGCGCACGGGUGAGUAACGCGUAUCCAACCUGCCCAUCACUUGGGGAAUAACCUUGCGAAAGUAAGACUAAUACCCAAUGAUAUCCCACGAAGGCAUCCGAAUGGGAUUAAAGAUUUAUCGGUGAUGGAUGGGGAUGCGUCUGAUUAGCUUGUUGGCGGGGUAACGGCCCACCAAGGCUACGAUCAGUAGGGGUUCUGAGAGGAAGGUCCCCCACAUUGGAACUGAGACACGGUCCAAACUCCUACGGGAGGCAGCAGUGAGGAAUAUUGGUCAAUGGGCGAGAGCCUGAACCAGCCAAGUAGCGUGCAGGACGACGGCCCUAUGGGUUGUAAACUGCUUUUAUAAGGAAUAAAGUGAGUCUCGUGAGACUUUUUGCAUGUACCUUAUGAAUAAGGACCGGCUAAUUCCGUG
rnacentral:rRNA from 1 species